GACAAAGAUGUAAAUAUAGAGAAAGAGAGAGCGAAUGCUACCAUGACUACAAGGUUGAAAGCUGAUGUCACCACCCACGCCACUCAAGCCAUCCUUGCAACAAUUACUGAUUUGGAGAUGAAGGGCUACUUUAGUCUUUGACAUACAGUGUCAGAGCCAGCUCCUCAUCCUGGCCUCUGUGUCUGCCUCCGUGACAGAAGACUUCUUGGCUGCAGCUGGAAAAAAA